CUUAAUGGAGAACUUGACGCAGCGACGCCGCGUGAGGGAAGAAGGCCUUCGGGUUGUAAACCUCUUUCCCCCCUUAAGAAGCUUCUCGGGUUAAUAGCCUAGAGGGUGGCGGUACCUCCAGAAGAAGCCCGGGUUAACUAAGUGGCAGGAGCCGCGGGAAUACGUAGGGGGAAAACGUUUUUCGGAUUUUUUGGGGGUAAAAAGGGUGGAGGGGGUAAGUUAAGUCUGGUGGGAAAACUCGAGGGUUAAACUCGAGAAGUUGGUGGAAACCUUGUGGAUUGAUUGCGGAAGAAGAGAAGGGGAUUUCUGGGGUAGCGGUGAAAUGCGCAUAAAUUUGGAAGAAAACCCGUGGGGAAAGGGGGUUUUCUGGGACGGUACUUACGCUUAAAGGCCAAAACGUGGGGAGCGAAAAGGAUUAAAUACCCUGGGAUUUCCCCGCCGUAAAAAAUGGGUGCUUGGGGGGGGGGGUGUAUAAUUCCUUUGUGGCGAAGCUAAAGCGUUUAUACACUCCGCCUUGGGAGUACGGCCGCAAGGGUAAAA
rnacentral:rRNA from 1 species